CUAACUUGAAUGCAACCAAUCAUCGUAAUAUGAAUGCUCCCAAACUUUCUAAGGCAAGGGUAAAAAUUUAAACCAUAGUUUAUGGUUGAGGGUUCAAGGAAAAAGUUUAAAAUACAAUCUAAAAUCAACAAUGAACUAAUUAGUUAUAUACAAGUUCCAAAAAUUAACAUCAACAUGGAUCCUGACACAAGGCUCAAAGGGGGUAAGCAAAUUCUCACUCACUAACAAGGUAUGCUACUUUUUGGUCAAAUGGUUGUGAUUAAAAUCAAACAAAAUGCCUUGAUCAUU
rnacentral:lncRNA from 1 species